UACCAUGCAAGUCGAACGGGAUUUAGUAGACAGAAACCUCGGUGGAAGAUUACUAAUGAGAGUGGCGAACGGGUGAGUAACGCGUGAGCAACCUGCCUAUGACAGUGGGAUAGCCUCGGGAAACCGGGAUUAAUACCGCAUAAAAUCGUAGAAACACAUGUUUCAACGGUCAAAGAUUUAUCGGUCAUAGAUGGGCUCGCGUCUGAUUAGCUAGUUGGUGAGAUAACAGCCCACCAAGGCAACGAUCAGUAGCCGGUCUGAGAGGAUGAACGGCCACAUUGGAACUGAGACACGGUCCAAACUCCUACGGGAGGCAGCAGUGGGGAAUAUUGCACAAUGGGGGAAACCCUGAUGCAGCGACGCCGCGUGAACGAAGAAGGUAUUCGUAUCGUAAAGUUCUGUCCUAUGGGAAGAUAAUGACAGUACCAUAGAAGAAAGCUCCGGCUAAAUACGUGCCAGCAGCCGCGGUAAU
rnacentral:rRNA from 1 species